CCGGUGCUGCAGGCCCCUGGUCUCCAGCCUCAGUCUCCGGUCCACCCUGGCACCACAAGCCUCCGGUCCCCAGCCUCUCAGCAGCAGGAUUAUAUCAGCAUUUGCCCAACAAUAAACUUAAUUGACUCAUCCGAAACCGAGUUACACAAUUAAUUGAACUAUUAUUUUAUAACUCAAGGCUAGAAAAGACUUGAGACCAGACAUGAGCAUCCCGUUUUUGGGAAUGAAGACAGAGCAGUCCACAAGUUUAAAGAAGUGGUACAGGCCAUGCAUUGAAACUGACCCAAGAAGACUCAACUCACACAGAGCACUGACCUGUUCUGGAGGACUUCCCACAGGAGGUGGAGGUCUGGCUCUGGGUGAGGAGGUGGAGGUCUGGCUCUGGGCGAGGAGGCGGAGGUCUGGCUCUGGGCGAGGAGGCGGAGGUCUGGCUCUGGGCGAGGAGGCGGAGGUCUGGCUCUGGGCGAGGAGGCAGACACCUUGGGACAAACUACCCGUCUACUGUAACAUGUGGGAAUUACGGCCAUUAUUUUAGCUUUGAUAUUAUCCAGUCGGUAACUCUGCACCAAAGUCGUUGUUUAACGUCAUUCCAUUGGGUAGGGUUUAACUUCUGUGGCAAUUAAUGACAGCAGAUAUUUAGAACGUACAAAAGCUGAAGUAACAAAGAACACUAAGCAGUAUCGAUAUUAAAUCAAAUAUACUCAGCCAUAUUCAGGUGCUGGGUUCCGUUGAAGAAAUGUCAAAUUAUCUUCCACCUUGAAAUGAUUUUCAGCCUUCCCCGAUGUCAAAAAUGGGCCCGCAAGUAGAACGCUGUUUUGUACGCAGUGAGAGUCCCGCAACGUCAUCGUGGUUAAAAGUACGGCGCAACCAUCGGAAAUUAUCAACAUAUUGUACGACGUACGCGUCAGUAUGUAAUUAAUAUCAAACUUAAGUUGUUUAAGAUAGGGGCAACAAUUCCCAAUGGAAACCGACAAUAGUUAGUAAAACCAAAAUAGUUUCCGUUGGCAACGGCUCGAGGUUACGCAAAUACAAUCAAGAACGAUCCGCCAGAUUCCCUCAGGGGACUCCCGUCCAACUAACUGCCAGGUGGUUUCUCAUGGUUGUCAAGACUACAAUGUUCUAUGCUAACCAUUGGGACUAAAUAAAGUGACCGCACUCAGAACCUUCCACGGCGGGAAGCACAAACCGUCCGACUGGAAUCCAAACAUUCCGGCCGGAACCAACCAAAGAAAAAA
ensembl:lncRNA